rnacentral:lncRNA from 1 species
CCACAGCUGAGUGCAAUGUGCUGAAUGCAAGGAAAGCAACAGCUUUUACUCCCUAGAAUGCUCAACCUGCCCACAGGAGCAAGCAGCACCAUUUGCUAUGAGCAGACCUGGGGGAAGAACGCAUACCCAAUACAGGAUAACAGAGACUGGAGAGCAGAAAGCACAUGGAUCCCAAAGCACCGGCUGAGCAAAGAGAGCAGCGCAGCAACAAUUAAGGUCUUUAUAGCUGCAACUAGCAGGAGCAGGUAUUGUCCGUGGGGUCAGGGGAUGGCAUUUAAUUGGAUGGGAUCUCAAGCAGCAAGGGUAUCCUGGGCAGCAGCAGCACAGGGUGGGGGAACCACACCUGAAAAUGAGUAAUGUUUCUGUGAGGAAUUACAUCACAAUGAUCAGGACUGCAUAAAGUUCAUUAAAUGUUACACCUAAAGACUGAGGUUAAUUACCACCUUCCAAAAUGGAGAACACUCCACAAGUGGGUACCAACUUCAGAAGAGAAAAUCAUGGUUUGUGUUACAACAACUGUAAUGAGAUAGAAAGUGCAGUAAUAACAGCAUUGUAACAAAACCCAAGGCCGCAAAGAUACACUCAGAUGCAGCAGCUGUGGACAUAGAAACAAAAAUAAGAAUCUGCUUACUCUUAGAAGACCUCAGCUACAUAGAGAUCUCCAACAAGAAAUACUCACUUCCAGUGCCAACCCUUAAAUGAGGUCUGGGAAGAAAAGGAUCCUGGCUCCACCCCUUUCAGUCACUCAGGUACAUUGCAUGCACCUGAGCUCCCCUGGGCUGACUCUGCCUUCACACCAGGUGUUCCAUCACUGCUUCAGGUCAUGACAGCAUUUUCCCUACAGCAUCAAGUAUUACUGAAGUAACACAGCUUGUAUAUGAGUUAAUGUUAUUUAUGUACUGCAAUCUUAUGGUUCCCAGCAAUGUUUUUACACAUGUAGCUGCAGUGGGCAUCCUGCUGCUUCCCAUGGCACUGCAGGUGCUCACCCCAUGAGUAGUGGGAAUGAGAAGGUGAGUGCCUGCUGCAGCCAUGAGAUCUGGAUUAUCACAGAUCUGAUUCCAAAGAUUUCAACAAUGUUCAAUAACUCCGUGGUUUCGGUUAUAUAUGAGGUGUGCCCAUGUGAGUGCAGCACACAGCUGGGCUCCAGUAUCUCAGAGCCCUGGCAAGAGCAGCCUGGCCCCAGGAACAACUCAGGCUACGUACACAUACUGUACUUAGUACUCAGGAAACGUCACAUCUGAAUCCCACAGAACUCAGGGGUGAAAACAUCAUGCCAUCUUUGUGUCUUUCUGUUUCAGCAAUGAUAGACAGUUUCUCAGUUCAGUUUGUGCCUUAAUUCUGUCAGGACACAGAACUAUAAUGCUCUUUCCAGUACUAAUGGAGGACAGCUUACAAACAAUUUCUGGCUGAUCAGUUGUUUACCUGUCCUGCUUUCAUGACAGCUGUAAGAAAGUGCUCUUAAAUGAGAACCAACAGAUGAUAAUUCCCACCUGACAAUGCAGCAUAAAGAAAGGAAGUAAUUCUAUCAGUUUUACUCAGGGCAGUUACACAGUAAAACAGACCUCCGUUCUGUCUUUGGGUCAUUCCCUUCUGUCCUACAAAGGGCAGAAAUGGAGGAACGGUGGCACUGGGUGAGGCUAAUGUAACAUCUGUGAGGUCAUGGAGAGAUGAAAUGGAUGAGGGUCCAGGUAAGUGGGUGGUGAUGGGAAGGGACAUCAGCACACAGGGGUUUGUCUGUGUGGAUGGGAGUGGCAGAACCAGCUUGAGAAAGCCAUGAUCAGGCCAUUACGUUGGAUAAAAAAAUAGACUCAUGGAAUCAUUCAGGUUGGAAAAGACCUUUAAGGUCAUCAAGUCAACUGUCAACCCAUCACACCAUGCCCACUGCACCGCGUUCCUAAGAU